GAUGAACGCUGGCGGCGUGCCUAAUACAUGCAGUCGAACGAAACUUCUUUAUCACCGAGUGCUUGCACUCACCGAUAAAGAGUUGAGUGGCGAACGGGUGAGUAACACGUGGGCAACCUGCCCAAAAGAGGGGGAUAACACUUGGAAACAGGUGCUAAUACCGCAUAACCAUAGUUACCGCAUGGUAACUAUGUAAAAGGUGGCUAUACUACCGCUUUUGGAUGGGCCCGCGGCGCAUUAGCUAGUUGGUAGGGUAAAGGCUUACCAAGGCAAUGAUGCGUAGCCGAAUUGAGAGGUUGAUCGGCCACAUUGGGACUGAGACACGGCCCAAACUCCUACGGGAGGCAGCAGUAGGGAAUCUUCCACAAUGGGCGAAAGCCUGAUGGAGCAACGCCGCGUGGGUGAAGAAGGUCUUCGGAUCGUAAAACCCUGUUGUUAGAGAAGAAAGUGCGUGAGAGUAACUGUUCACGUUUCGACGGUAUCUAACCAGAAAGCCACGGCUAACUACGUG
rnacentral:rRNA from 1 species